UCUUCUUGAGUUCGUUGGUCGGCGGAGGAGGAGGCGACGGAGCAGAUUACGGUGAUGGUGGGGACGAAGGAGGAGAGCGUGUCCGAGGAAAUGUUGGAGUCGAUGGAGAAGGUGACGGGGGACCAUGGAGGAGCGCGACCUCCUAUCGGUCGCCUACGAGAACGUCGUCGGCACCAUCCGCCCCUCGAAUCGUCUCCUUCAUGAAGCAGAAGGAUCAGAGUACGGUAACGGGUCGGCGUCGCUGGAUCCAUGGCUACUGAGCCAAGAUCCAGACCGAGCUUGGCAUCCUCUGCCUCGGCGCUGGUUUGAGGUUUACAAUGUCAUGAAGUGCCACGACCGACGCCUACCCGGCCGUGUUCAAGAUCGGCUUCGGCCAUAGCUACGCCGCCUACAGAUCCGUCCAGGGCGAGAUAAGGCCAUGCUGAAUCUUGGGGACAUUGGGAUGUCGAUCUGGCAGUCGCUUGCGAACCUUGCAAUAAGAUGAUGCUCAAGAUGACCGCCUAUGCAUCCAAUCACGUUGAGGCUGUGGCACAACUUUAAGGUGUUACAUCACUCUGCUGUCAAAUCCGUUGAUCAUUCAGGAGAAGCACAUCUUUAAGGCAUUUUACGGAGCAAUUGCAGGGCUGGAUAUCCUAAGAGAGGAAUGCUAAGUUAUGUUUCAUCGUGCCAGCACUGGAAGAAUCCAAUUCAUUGUGGUGGAUGUGUUUUCAAUGGGAGGAUGGAGGAAAUGAGAUUAAAUAACCAACCAAACGUGAAACAAACAGUAGUUAUGAUUAGUAGUGUCAACCUGGUGACGUUGGUUUCGACAAUACCAGAAAUGGAGCAGGCAGUGAUCACCAAAACGUUUACUGAUAACAUCAUAUCAACAGACCUGGUCUCCUUGCUCGAUCAUCGUCAAUGAGAAGAAAGUUUUCCCAAAUGCCAGCGGCAAUAUCACAGUUACCUCAAAAUACCUAAAGGAAUUGUCAGAGCCUGACAGGUAUCUGAUGGUGUACUGUAGAUCGAUAAAUUUAUUGAACUUCAGCAAUCGACUGGAUGCGAUAAACACGUGGACGAAGCUAUAGUUUUGUUCCAUUCUCUGCUCUCCGUCCUGCAUAUAUCUCAGGCCUUCAAGAAGCUGGAGGCUCCAUGGUUGAUCAAGGCCGUCCUUGUCGUUGUCCACUGCAAGAACGGUCGAUAUUGCUUCAGCCGGCGUCCCCUUGGUGUCGUUUGUGAUCGGACGGGAAGCAUUCGCUGAUACCCCCACCGAUCUGGCUCUGCCUUUGCCGACACUAAUCGGCAUGCGACAGAAUUCAGACAAUGAUAACGAAGGCUGUAGGUUCCCAUCAUGCACGGACGUUUGGUACCCGGGGACCAGUCAGAGAGGCGCACGUGUAAGGAGCAGGACGGCUGGAGUGACAGCUAAGUUCCGUAAGUUUUGAAGUUUUGGUACGAGUAUGAGACAGAAUGUUACCGGUGGGUCCGAUCCAAUCUAAACACACACGCCAGAGAAAGUGACGGUUGGUCAGCUGCUGCUGCUACGGCCUCAUUUCGCAUCUGCAAAACUCACAGGUGUGCACAUAGGUUGGGCCUCUCCUACUUUUGGAACAUGCAUAGGUGACCGUGAACCGAGCCUUCCACCCCCCCGACUGUGGUGGUGGCUCAGUUCGUUUGGGACUGCAGGCGUUGUCACCGGUUGUUGACAGCCAAGCUGGUGUUGCUACUUCCACAUGGGGUAGGAUUGGUAAAUUACCCCUUCUCACUGUGCACCAGAGGGGUAAUUUCUGUGACUUACGAUGGGGUAGGAUUGCUACUUCCACAUUUAGCUUAUUAUUUAGAGUAUUUUAAAAAAAAUUAAAAUAAUUGACAAUUCUCUAUUCAUAUUUAAAAAAUAAUAAUAAAAUAAUUUUACUAUUUACCGUUCUUG